UACGGGGGGUGCGAGCGUUGUCCGGAAUCACUGGGCGUAAAGGGCGCGUAGGCGGUUUGAUAAGGCUGUGGUGAAAGCCCGGGGCUCAACCCCGGGUCUGCCGUGGCGACUGUCAGACUGGAGGGCUCGAGAGGCAGACGGAAUUCCGGGUGUAGCGGUGGAAUGCGUAGAGAUCCGGAAGAAGACCGGUGGCGAAGGCGGUCUGCUGGCGAGUACCUGACGCUGAUGCGCGACAGCGUGGGGAGCAAACAGG
rnacentral:rRNA from 1 species